rnacentral:rRNA from 1 species
GUAACACGUAGAUAAUCUGGCCUAAGGUCAGUGAUAGCCUUGGGAAACUGAGGGUAACAACUGAUAGGAAAUUUGUUCUGGAAAUGAUUUAUUUCUUAAAGGCAACGCCUUAGGAUGAGUCUGCGGCAGAUUAGGCAGUUGGUGGGGUAACGGCCCACCAAACCUAAGAUCUGUAGGGGCCAUGAAAGUGGUAGCCUCGAGAAGGUCACUGAGAUACUGGACCUAGCCCUACGGGGUGCAGCAGGCGCGAAACCUUUACAAUGCGCUAACGCGUGAUAAGGGGACUCCAAGUGCUUAUGCUUAGCAUAGGCUUUUGCUAAGGGCGAAGACCUUGGCGAAUAAGUGGUGGGAAAGACUGGUGCCAGCAGCCGCGGUAACCCCAGCGCCACAAGUGGUGAUCGGUUUUAUUGGGCCUAAAGCAUUCGUAGCUGGUUGAAAAAGUCUCUUGUGAAAUCGGGACGCUUAACGUACCGGAUGGCAGGAGAUACUAUUCAACUUGGGAUUGGGAGGAGUGAGAGGAAAUUUUUGGGGGGAAGCGGUAAAAUGCUAUAAUCCCUAAAAGACCACCGAUGGCGAAGGCAUCUCACUAGAACAAAUCCGACAGUCAGGAAUGAAAGCUAGGGGAGCAAACCGGAUUAGAUACCCGAGUAGUCCUAGCCGUAAACGCUGUGAGUUAGGUGUUGCGUAUUCUUAGGGAAUACGCAGUAUCGUAGUGAAGACGUUAAACUCACCGCC